UGUGAAUUCCAUUUUCACGGUUUUGUCAUCAUGAACUUUUCAGUGUGCUUCUUAGAAAAGAGAACGCAGUUUCUUUGUGGAAUCGUGUGGUCAUGGCACGGAUAUUCUUGAGCCAACGCUGGCUUUUGUCCAUGACCAACGUUCUGCUCCAUCCUUAUCUUCCCGGCGUAAACUUUUCCAGCUUCUGCUUCAUCGCGUCGUACACAAAAAUACAACUUGUCUUGCUUCACUGACGAGUUGGAACACUUCAGCCGUCGCUUCCGUGCCUCUGUUACACACCUGCAGUCACUCACCACGGGAUUAUGCCCAGGAAAUGCAGAGGAGACGUCGAGAAGAUGAACACUAAAAAAUCUCCGGUAUCACCAAAAUGUCAGCGCGGAUCAUCAUUUGUUGUUAAUAUGUUGUUGUUUGUGUUAGUUAACCCGUUGACUG